rnacentral:tRNA from 1 species
UAGUUAAGUAAUUUAUCAUAAAAUAUUUACCUUGAAAGUAAAAAAAAGAAACAAAACUUCUGUUAACU